GGAAAUGUGCCUGAAUCCUAAGGGUCACUAUGAUAAAGUGAACAUAGAGGUGUGCCAGUCCUCUCAUUUCCU
rnacentral:tRNA from 1 species